CAACGGCGCACCUUCAAGUGCU
rnacentral:miRNA from 1 species